AACGAACGCUGGCGGCAUGCCUAACACAUGCAAGUCGAACGAGACCUCCGGGUCUAGUGGCGCACGGGUGCGUAACGCGUGGGAACCUGCACUUAGGUUCGGAAUAACUCCCCGACAGGGGUGCUAAUACCGGAUAAUGUCUUCGGACCAAAGAUUUAUCGCCUUUGGAUGGGCCCGCGUUGGAUUAGCUAGUUGGUAGGGUAAAAGCUUACCAAGGCGACGAUUCAUAGCUGGUCUGAGAGGAUGAUCAGCAACACUGGGACUGAGACGCGGCCCAGACUCCUACGGGAGGCAGCAGUGGGGGAUAGUGGACAGUGGGCGAAAGCCUGAUCCAGCAAUGCCGCGUGAGUGAUGAAGGCCUUAGGGUUGUAAAGCGCUUUUACCCGGGAUGAUAAUGACAGUACCGGAUGAAUAAGCUCCGGCUAACUCCGUG
rnacentral:rRNA from 1 species